GGAGUCUACGUUCCAGCCAGUUUCCUGGGCAGUCCUGGAGAAUGUGGCUCGUGGUUAAGCACCUAUGGGUUUAAUCCCUGGUUAAAAAAAAAAUAGGCAUGGAACUGCCAUAUGACCCAGCUAUACCACUCCUUGGAAUUUAUCCUAAAGAAUUAAAGUCAUCAUACUAUAGCAAUAUAUGCAUACCCAUGUUUACAGUAGCACAAUUAACAAUAGCCACACUAUGGAAGCAGUCUAGGUGUCUAACAUAUGAAUGGAUAAAAAGAAUGUGGUAAAUAUAUAUAUGUAGACAGACACACAUAAUGGAGUUUUCCUCAGCAUAAAGUAAAGUGAAAUUAUGUCAUUUGCAGGAAAAUUGAUGGAACUUGAGGACAGUACGUUAAGCAAAAUAUAUAUGACUCUCAUAUAUGGGAGCUAGCAAGGGAAAAGGAAAAGAAAACUGGGGUGACCCAUGAAAAUCAAAUGGAAAUCAGCAGAAUAAAGGAAAGGGACCAGUGGGAGGGAAGAGGAAAGGGAAAGGAGAAAUACUGGGGAAUUAUAUUUGUCAAAUUGUAGUUAUAUUACAUGCAUAUACAAAUAUGUAACAAUGAAUCCCACCAUUGUGUACCACUAUAAUGCACCAAUAAAAAAAAUGUGGGAAAAAAUAAAAUUGCC
rnacentral:lncRNA from 1 species